GGUCUGACCACUUUAAACGCAUUCUACGUCACGUUUUAUGUACCUAUAUAUGCACACAGUUCUUUCGGGUUUUGUUCGUGAAGAUCACACUCGAUAUGGGACCGCGGUGGUUGUGACUUAAGCCUUGUUUUUUGCCAGUCUACGAUGACUAAUGAGUAAUGACCAACCACCAACCAGUUCCACCAAUCGAUUUGUUGCUACAGACAACGAUUAGUAGUAGUUAUAGCUAAUAUGAUACAUACACCGGAAACGCGGCAAGAACACUAUACUAUAUACUUAAGAGUUAUAUUAUAACACGGGAUUCAGAAUAGACAAUAAUAUAUAUAUAUAUCAGCUAAUGACAACCAGUAGCUGCAGAGAUUUUUCAAACAUAGCUUUAUUAUGAUGAACAAAAAAUUUUCGGUACGUGUGACAAGUACAAAUAAUGAAGGUAAAUGGUACGUAAUUGUGAAAUGUGCACCUUAGCUAUACAAAUAGAUGAAAAGGUGCGCAGAAAAUGGAAGAUCUUUUUGUUUUUGCUUCUUUACAUAUUAUAAUGUAGUUAUGAAAUAAU